rnacentral:lncRNA from 1 species
AGCAUGAAGCUUUUUCAUUAUCUCUACAAGGUGAUUGAAUUUCUUCUACCUGAACAGCAAGAUUCUCCUUUGAAUUGCUGCAGCAGAGACUGGCACUCUCUGUAGGUCAGAAGUGCAGUACAGGUUUCACCAAGAUAAAAUUCAGUUGCCUAAGGCUGCAUUUCCUGAUGGAAGCUGUAGGGGAGAAUCUGUUUCCUGCUUAUCAGGUGGGUGGCAUAAUUGAGUUCCUUGAAGCUUCAGGACUGAGAUUCACCCCUUUCAAGUGUAUAGUCCACUGAGGACUGUUCCCAGUUCUGGAGGUCACUUUAUUCUUUGGCUCAUGAUUUCCUUGCCCUGUUUUCAAAGCCAGCAAUAAAGCAGGAGUCCUUCUCAAGUUGUAUGUCUCUCUGACAGAUGGGGAAGAUUCUCUGCUUUCAAAAUUUCAGGUAACUAUACUGGGCCCACCCUGAUGAUCCAGGAUUAUCUAAUCUGAAGGCCCUUGAAUUUACACACAUAUGCAAAGGUAACAUAUUCACAGGUUCUAAAAAUCAGGGCACAGACAUGUUUGAGGGUCAUUAUUCUGUCUAGCGAAAGAGGAGAUAAGGUGAAUAGCUCAAGAUGAAAUACUUUCACUUGUCUAAUGGUUCUAGUCAGGUUGCUCCUUUUAAAUCAAGACACCUUUAAUGACUCACUAUUACCUAAAGAAUUAAAUUAAAA